CAUGUCUUUUUGAUUAUAAUUUAAGGUUUGGCCUGCUCAAUGAUUUUUAAAUUGCCGCAGUAUUUUGACUGUGCAAAGGUAGCAUAAUAAUUAGUUUUUUUAUUGGAAACUGGAAUGAAUGGUUGGACGAAAAAAUUUCUGUCUCUUAUUUAUUUUUUUUUGAAUUUUAUUUUUAAGUUAAAAAGCUUAAAUUUUUUUAAAAGACGAGAAGACCCUAUAGAGUUUUAUUUUUUAAAUUAUAUUAUUUUUUUUUGUAUUUAAUUUUUUAUUAUUUAAAUAAUUUAGUUGGGGUGACUUUAAGAUUUAAUUAACUCUUUUAAUUUAAUAUCACUGAUUUGUGAAUUGUUAAUCUAUAUUUUUAAUUAUAAAUUAAAUUACCUUAGGGAUAACAGCGUAAUUUUUUUUUAAAGUUCUUAUUUAAAAUAAAGUUUGCGACCUCGAUGUUGGAUUAAAAUUUGAUUUUGGUGAAGAAGCUUAAAAUCUAAGUCUGUUCGACUUUUAAAAUUUUACAUGAUCUGAGU
rnacentral:rRNA from 1 species